ACAUCACACCUCAUUGUUGUCUCUUGUUUUCUAUUAUCGGCACAGAAUCAAUUAAAGGUGUAAUUUCUAGUCAAAACUUAUAAAUAUAUAAAUGAUGAGCUUUACUAAUACCUAGAUUUUGACUUGCCAUUCAUGUCUAUGUUCUACAUGCUUAUUUUGAAACAUUCAUCUCUUUUCGUACAAUGCCUUUCAAUGUGAGCGGAGAUUUGGUCAAAAACACGGAAUUAGUUUUUGGAAGGGUUAAACAGGUGAACCCUCAUAAGUAAUUAUUUAUAGAACAACAACAGAUCAGACGUGCAUAAAGAAUCCAUGGUCAGCGUUCUUUCAUAUGCUAAUAAUGGCAUCGAGCACCUGCCUUAAAAUCAACAACCAAAAAAUACAAAUUUACUCCCAGUCAGUAGGAAACAUGUAUUUUCCAAAGAAUAGAAUCCUGCUGAACCGUAAAAAGGUGAAAAGCAUAGCGGGGUGUGAUGAACGGGUCGUUUUUUAAUAAAACCGAACGCGAAAUUAAACGAGGGAUGGGAAAUGUGAGAGUUCAAUUGGGUCUUUCAUAUCAGUCAGUAUAUAGCGCUUGUUGAUGAAAAUAUCCCAUAUAUAUUCAUGACAUCGAAACGAGACUGCGGAGUUGAGAAGAUGCGUGGCAUGACAUACCAUGCGCUACGCUGAGCUAUCUUAGGAAAAGGAGAGAAGCUUACUGUUUAGUCAUCAACACUAAAGCAUUUGGUGGUGUUGUGGUGAUGAGGGAAUAACCAAGUACGAUUUAGGUUCUUGGGAGGCUGACAGCGAGUUGGCGGCGGACCUUAGCAAGAGCUAUAGAGCUGGGUUGUGGUACAGAGGAAAGUGGAAAACUGCCUGAAGCGAGUCAAGACCGGACGAGCGCAGAUUCUUCGUUAAAGGGUAAUUCUUGCUUCAAGCAAUUGCGAUUACAUCUUGAGCUGGAAUUUGGUGUCAGACGAGGGCGAUAAAAGAACUACAAAAACCUGGUGAUAUCUCC